rnacentral:snRNA from 1 species
GUGCUUGCUUUAGAAGCACACAUACUAAAAUGGGAAUGAAAGAUUAUCAUGGCCCUUGUGCAAAGAUGGCAUGAAAAUUUGUGAAGCAUUCCAUAUUUUU